rnacentral:lncRNA from 1 species
AACAAAAAAGAAUGUGCAUCAGAGAAAAAAUGCAAAUGAAGACCUUUUAAAAAGUGAUCUGCAAUGACAAAAAUAAUAGGCAAAUGAUAGCAAAUUGCCAAAUAGAAAGUGAGCACCUACUUUAUUUUCACAGUGAAAAAAAUCUGUCUGGAUAGUAUAGGGACACUUUCAUGAAAAUCAUCAGUUUACAUGGCUAUAACUUUUUUGGGAAAAAAAAUGUAGGCCUGAUUGUUUUUAUAUAUAACAUUAGCUAAUUGCUUAUUAGAGUGUUUGAAAAUCCAAUUUCCUUAGUCUGACUCUCCAAUAAGGGGUUAGCAGCUCUUCCAUUUAUGUGUAAAUAUUCAUUAUUCAAUGAGUUAAGAGUAUACUUUAAUAUUCUCUUUCUCAAGGGUCAUAUUGGCUAAUGUCUGCAAGUGUUUUUAAUUAGGCUUUUUAAAAAUCUGUUGAGAAAAAAUGUGAUAGCCAUUUAAAUAUUGUGUAUAAUGCAUAUGCUCUCGGUAAUAUUUUAUUUCAAUUAUAGACUUUAGCUGCAGAGACUCAGACAUACAUGUGUACAACAUCUGACAUUUUGCAUAUCAAACUUAAUAACUAUGUUUUAAACAUAAAUUCCCAAACUAUCUUUUAAAAAAUACAAACAGUAACAUGUUUGAAAUGUAAAAUGCCACUACAACUCAAGACUCAAAGAAUAUAAAAGCCCCUAAAUCAGGAACGUAUGGUUGCCAUAACAACUUGGCUACAUUUCCAUGAAUUUUAUGGCAGAAAAAUGCCUAACAUGUCUGAUUUACAACUGCAAAAGGAACCACGGUGUUCAUUUCCUGAAUAUUGGUCAUGGCAAACUUUUUGUUUUAGUUAUUUGGAUUUGAUAGGUAUGUUCUCUAAUUGGCUGUUUCUUGUUACAUGCCUUAUGUAAUUAAAGCAAAAAUUAAUCUUUAAAUAUUUUAAGUUUUCCUUACCCUUGCUUUGUUAUCUAAACUUGAGGAGAAUUGCCUAUAACAAGCUUGAAAAGAAAUCAAGGCUUGCCAACCAGGAAAAAAAAAAAGGAUGUUUAAAAGUACAGGCUGCUGACAUUUUACAAAUAAAAAUGAUAAGGGACACUGAAGUGGUUCCACAAAAAGUACUGAAAGAUACGUCGAAGUAGAACUGAAUCAGGAGUUUCACUUCAUCUCUGUAUGCUAGUACUUCUGAGGGGAUGCGUCUGAAUACAACAGUACCAUUUAUCUCCAGGGCAUACGUUCCAACAUCUCCAGUGAAAGCCUGAAACCAGUUCCAAACCUGACUGGCAUCAUUUGGAACACGUUUCUGUUCGUCUCUCCCAUACAGAAAUUUAAUGCCUUUUCCAUCCUAAUUAAGCGCUUAUCAUGUACUGCGGCUGUAACUUGUGCAGUUUGAAGGGCCACAGCAAAACUAGCAGGAAUUUUUUUCUUCUUUCAUGGAUCGAACGUUCUUUCUUACCAUAGAUCUUAGCAAACUCGGCAUAUGAUUUUUUUUCUUUCUCUAUUAAGUUGAAAACUUUCACCUUUUCACUUAAAGGAAACACUUUACGGCUUCUCUUUGGAAAACCCGAAUUGCCAGCAUCACUACUCUUGUGCUUUGGGGCCGUUAUGAAGUAAAAUAAGAGUUCCUUGAGCACACAGCACUUUGAUGCCCAACAGGUGAUCUGAUAACCUAGACGGUCACUAAGUGACUAAUAGUAGGUGGUGUAGACAACGUGGAGAUGCUGGACAGUGGGAAGAUUCACUCCCUUGGUGAGAUGGAGCAAAGAUGGCAUGAGAUUUCAUCGCGCUACUCAGAACUGUGUGGAAUUUCAAACUUAUCAAUUGUUUAUUUCUGGAAUUUUCCCUUCAGUGAAACCAAGGAAAGCAAUAUCACAGAUAAAGGGGAUUUCCGAAUAUAUAAACAAAAAGCAUUUACUGAAUACAAGAAUAAACUAUUUCUGCUCCUCUCUGGCUUAAAACUAUUCUGAGAGUUCCCCUUAAGAGGAUAGCACCUGUUAAAUGGAAAAGUGAUUAGCUAUUAUAAGUUUAGAAAAAACACAACAAACUACCAUAGAAUCUUUAUUCAUAAAAAUCCUUAAAACGAGAAUGAAAUAAUCACUUUCAUUCAUUUCAUACUAGCGUGUAUUGUGCCCAGUCUUUUUAAAUACGGUGUCAUCCAGGCAAAGCUGAAUGAGACAUGAAGCCUACCCUCUCUUCCUGUUCCAGAAAGCUCCUGGUUAGAAUUUUACUAAAGGAACUCCCCUUAACGUACUCUUCCUGUAAAAUUUUCUUUCUUUCUCCCUCAUCACCUUCAUUAGUUGUCUCUUUAUUUGUAUUUUGUUUGAAUGCUUGCUGGUCUUAAUUGUUGAAUAUAAUGUUUCAUUUAUUAUAAACUGCCUCA